CAUGGAACUUUCCUCCCCGUUUCAUCUGUCAUAUAGUAGCGAGAGACCCGGGAAAUAUCAUCGGGUAUUUUCCCGAUACGUCUAUGACACGUGAUACUGCGUUAACUAAUGCCUAGCCCUACAUAUUGCCAUGCCAUGCAUUGUGUUGCAUCUGUGCAUUAUAUUGAUUGUUUCUUCCCCCUCUUCUUACCUGUAAACCCCGAGACUGAUGCUGCCGUUGGCUGCGACUACCCUCCUGACGAUCAUCCCUUUGCCGCAGAGCAACAAGGCAAGCAAACCCCCCUUGAUAAUUCCUAUAUCGCAUAUUUAUUUCUCCCUCAUGCUUGCAUUAGAUUUUGCUACUCUUGUAGUUACCUCCUAUAUCUGCUACAUAGCUUGUUUUUUAUGAACUCCUACCUUACUGUGCCUCACUUUAAAAUGCUUAGUAUAGGUGGAAC
rnacentral:lncRNA from 1 species